rnacentral:tRNA from 1 species
UUUUUUAUAGUUUAUUAAAAACAUAGAUUUUGUAAAUCUAAGAAGUAUUUUACUAGAUUAAAAGAA